rnacentral:rRNA from 1 species
AAUGAACGCUGGCGGCAUGCCUUACACAUGCAAGUCGAACGGCAGCGGGGACUUCGGUCCGCCGGCGAGUGGCGAACGGGUGAGUAAUGUAUCGGAACGUACCAUUGAGUGGGGGAUAACGCAGCGAAAGCUGCGCUAAUACCGCAUACGAUCUGAGGAUGAAAGCGGGGGACCGUAAGGCCUCGCGCGAUCGGAGCGGCCGAUGUCAGAUUAGGUAGUUGGUGGGGUAAAGGCUUACCAAGCCAACGAUCUGUAGCUGGUCUGAGAGGACGACCAGCCACACUGGGACUGAGACACGGCCCAGACUCCUACGGGAGGCAGCAGUGGGGAAUUUUGGACAAUGGGCGAAAGCCUGAUCCAGCAAUGCCGCGUGCAGGAAGAAGGCCUUCGGGUUGUAAACUGCUUUUGUACGGAGCGAAAAGGUUCUCUCUAAUACAGAGGGCUCAUGACGGUACCGUAAGAAUAAGCACCGGCUAACUACGUGCCAGCAGCCGCAGUAACAC